GACGAACGCUGGCGGCGUGCCUAAUACAUGCAAGUCGAGCGGACCAAAGAGAGCUUGCUCUUUGAGGUUAGCGGCGGACGGGUGAGUAACACGUGGGCAACCUGCCUGUAAGCUUGGGAUAACUCCGGGAAACCGGUGCUAAUACCGAAUACAACCGGGGACCGCAUGGUCCCUUGUACAAAGACCUUGUGUCACUUACAGAUGGGCCCGCGGCGCAUUAGCUUGUUGGUGGGGUAACGGCCUACCAAGGCGACGAUGCGUAGCCGACCUGAGAGGGUGAUCGGCCACACUGGGACUGAGACACGGCCCUGACUCCUACGGGAGGCAGCAGUAGGGAAUCUUCCGCAAUGGACGAAAGUCUGACGGAGCGACGCCGCGUGAGCGAUGAAGGUUUUCGGAUCGUAAAGCUCUGUUGUCAGGGAAGAACCGCCGGGAUGACCUCCCGGUCUGACGGUACCUGACGAGAAAGCCCCGGCUAACUACGCGCCAGCCGCCGCAGUAACAC
rnacentral:rRNA from 1 species